UAGGGAAUCUUCCGCAAUGGACGAAAGUCUGACGGAGCAACGCCGCGUGAGCGAUGAAGGCCUUCGGGUCGUAAAGCUCUGUUGUUAGGGAAGAACAAGUAUCGGAGUAACUGCCGGUACCUUGACGGUACCUAACCAGAAAGCCACGGCUAACUACGUGCCAGCAGCCGCGGUAAUACGUAGGUGGCAAGCGUUGUCCGGAAUUAUUGGGCGUAAAGCGCGCGCAGGCGGUCCUUUAAGUCUGAUGUGAAAGCCCACGGCUCAACCGUGGAGGGUCAUUGGAAACUGGGGGACUUGAGUGCAGAAGAGGAAAGUGGAAUUCCACGUGUAGCGGUGAAAUGCGUAGAGAUGUGGAGGAACACCAGUGGCGAAGGCGACUUUCUGGUCUGUAACUGACGCUGAGGCGCGAAAGCGUGGGGAGCAAACA
rnacentral:rRNA from 1 species